rnacentral:rRNA from 1 species
CCCAGACUCCUACGGGAGGCAGCAGUGGGGGAUAUUGCACAAUGGGGGAAACCCUGAUGCAGCGACGCCGCGUGAGUGAAGAAGUAUUUCGGUAUGUAAAGCUCUAUCAGCAGGGAAGAAAAAAGACGGUACCUGACUAAGAAGCCCCGGCUAACUACGUGCCAGCAGCCGCGGUAAUACGUAGGGGGCAAGCGUUAUCCGGAUUUACUGGGUGUAAAGGGAGCGUAGACGGCAAUACAAGUCGGAAGUGAAAUACCCGGGCUCAACCUGGGAACUGCUUUGGAAACUGUAUGGCUGGAGUGCUGGAGAGGUAAGCGGAAUUCCUAGUGUAGCGGUGAAAUGCGUAGAUAUUAGGAGGAACACCAGUGGCGAAGGCGGCUUACUGGACAGUAACUGACGUUGAGGCUCGAAAGCGUGGGGAGCAAACAGGAUUAGAUACCCGUGUAGA